UACCUGGUUGAUCCUGCCAGUAGUCAUAUGCUUGUCUCAAAGAUUAAGCCAUGCAAGUCUAAGUACGAGCUCUCGUACAGUGAAACUGCGAAUGGCUCAUUAAAUCAGUUAUGGUUCAUUUGAUCGUACAGUUUACUUGGAUAACUGUGGUAAUUCUAGAGCUAAUACAUGCGAGAAGCGCCGACCUCGCGGGAGGCGUGCAUUUAUCAGACCAAAAACCGGCCGCGUCUUCGGGCGCGUUCGCCUUGGUGACUCUGGAUAACUUUGCGGAUCGCACGGUCUAGCACCGGCGACGGAUCAUUCAAGUGUCUGCCCUAUCAACUUUCGUCGGUACGGUAUUUGCCUACCGAGGUUCUUACGGGUGACGGGGAAUCAGGGUUCGAUUCCGGAGAGGGAGCCUGAGAAACGGCUACCACAUCCAAGGAAGGCAGCAGGCGCGCAAAUUACCCAUUCCCGACGCGGGGAGGUAGUGACGAAAAAUAACAAUGCAGGACUCGUUCGAGGCCCUGUAAUUGGAAUGAGUACACUCUAAAAGCUUUAACGAGUA
rnacentral:ncRNA from 1 species